CAUCAGUUUGACCCCCCGAAACUAAGCGAGCUACCUCAAAACAGCUUACCGAGCUAACCCGUCUCUGUUGCAAAAGAGUGGGAUGAUUUUUAGGUAGAGGUGAAAAGCCUACCGAGCUUAGAGAUAGCUGGUUAUUCAGGAAAAGAAUUUUAGUUCAACCCUAAGCCUUCCCCUUACACCCGAUAAGCCCACCCGGCUUAGGAGCUAUUCAAAUAAGGCACAGCUUAUUUGACAAAGGAGACAUCCUACAAAAAAGGGUAAAACCCCCCCCCGCACUAAGUAAGUGGGCCCGAAAGCAGCCAUCUUUAAGAAAGCGUUAAAGCUCUAUUUUUAUCUUUAAACUAAUAUCUGUCAAGACAUUAAACCCUUUAAUCCUACUGAGUGACUCUAUAAAGAUAUAGAAAUCCUAAUGCUAAAACUAGUAACAAGAAAUUGAUAUUCUCCAAAAUACAAGUAUAAGUCAAAAUGGACAAGCCAUUGACAAUUAACACUACUGAUCGGAAUGUAGCAACAAAACAAGAAAACCCUACAAACUUCUAUGUUAACCUUACACAAGUGUAUUUCUGGAAAGAUUAAAAAAAAGGGAAGGAACUCGGCAAAUAUCAGCCCCGCCUGUUUACCAAAAACACCGCCUCUUGAUCCUCAUAAGAGGUCCAGCCUGCCCAGUGACAUGAUUAAACGGCCGCGGUACCCUGACCGUGCAAAGGUAGCAUAAUCACUUGUCCUCUAAAUAAGGACUUGUAUCAACGGCAUCACGAGGGUUAUACUGUCUCCCCUUUUUAAUCAGUGAAACUGACUUCCCCGUGAAGAGGCGGGAAUAAAAGUACAAGACGAGAAGACCCCAUGGAGCUUUAAACCCAAUAAUACCUUCUACUUACUAUAGCUGCUUAAUCAAGAAGGCCUAUCUAUUGGUUUUAGGUUGGGGUGACCCUGGAGUAAAACUAAGCCUCCAUGACGAAUGGAUUUACCUUAAUCUAAGAGCAACUGCUCAAUGAAUCAAAAUUUUGACGUAGCUGAUCCGCUUAGCGAUCAACGAACCAAGUUACCCUGGGGAUAACAGCGCAAUCCAUUUCAAGAGCCCCUAUCGACAAAUGGGUUUACGACCUCGAUGUUGGAUCAGGGUAUCCUAGUGGUGCAGCGGCUA
rnacentral:rRNA from 1 species